rnacentral:rRNA from 1 species
CGCAUACUCCCAACCCAAUGUGAACGUUACCAAACUGUUGCCUCGGCGGGGUCACGCCCCGGGUGCGUCGCAGCCCCGGAACCAGGCGCCCGCCGGAGGAACCAACCAAACUCUUUCUGUAGUCCCCUCGCGGACGUAUUUCUUUACAGCUCUGAGCAAAAAUUCAAAAUGAAUCAAAACUUUCAACAACGGAUCUCUUGGUUCUGGCAUCGAUGAAGAACGCAGCGAAAUGCGAUAAGUAAUGUGAAUUGCAGAAUUCAGUGAAUCAUCGAAUCUUUGAACGCACAUUGCGCCCGCCAGUAUUCUGGCGGGCAUGCCUGUCCGAGCGUCAUUUCAACCCUCGAACCCCUCCGGGGGAUCGGCGUUGGGGAUCGGGACCCCUCACACGGGUGCCGGCCCCUAAAUACAGUGGCGGUCUCGCCGCAGCCUCUCCUGCGCAGUAGUUUGCACAACUCGCACCGGGAGCGCGGCGCGUCCACSUCCGUAAAACACCCAACUUUCUGAAAUGUUGACCUCSGAUCAGGKAGGAAUACCCCGCUGAACUUWAGCAUAWYAAUAAGCGGGAAGAAAA